UACAGAGGGGGCAAGCGUUAUUCGGAAUUAUUGGGCGUAAAGGGCGCGUAGGCGGCUUUUCAAGUGACGGGUGAAAUCCCUCGGCUUAACCGAGGAACUGCCUGUCAGACUGGAAGGCUUGAGACCGGGAGAGGUGAGUGGAAUUCCCAGUGUAGCGGUGAAAUGCGCAGAUAUCAGGAAGAACACCAAUGGCGAAAGCAGCUCUCUGGGACGGUACUGACGCUGAGACGCGAAAGCGUGGGGAGCGAACAGG
rnacentral:rRNA from 1 species